rnacentral:rRNA from 1 species
UCAGACGAUGCGUCAUGCAUAUCAAUAAGCGGAGGAAAAGAAACUAACUAGGAUUCCCUCAGUAACGGCGAGUGAAGCGGGAAGAGCUCAAAUUUGAAAUCUUCAAGGUUUUACCUUGACGAAUUGUAGUUUAAAGAAGUGUUUUCUGUUAGAGGAGUUAGGUAAAAGUUCUUUGGAAUAGGACAUCAUAGAGGGUGAGAAUCCCGUAUUUGACCAUAUUCUUCUAGCUUUGUGAUACACUUUCAAAGAGUCGGAUUAGUUUGGGAAUGCAGUCCAAAAUGGGUGGUAAAUUUCAUCUAAAGCUAAAUAUUGGCGAGAGACCGAUAGCGAACAAGUACCGUGAGGGAAGAUGAAAAGAACUUUGAAAAGAGAGUUAAACAGUACGUGAAAUUGUCAAAAGGGAAGCGUUUGACACCAGUGUUGUUUUCUCGAAAAUCAAUUAAAAAGAGUUGGAUUUUGUGUUGUAUUGACCUUAACAGCUUGCUUCACUCUUUUCCUGCUUUUUUUAAUGCACUUUUCGUUUAACAAGUCAACAUCAGUUUCUUUUGUUGUAAAAGGGUCAUUGGAAGGUGGCUUUCUCUUCGGAGAAAGUGUUUAUAGCCUUUGAUCUCUGCAAUCGGAGAGACUGAGGUCUGCAGCGUAGAUCCUUCGGGGUUAGAUACAUUUGUGCUAAGCUACAGCUUUUCAUAGACAACUUGUUGACUAUGUUUAGUCUUGUAACUUACCCGCUUAUGCUAUUUUACCUACGCUUAGGAUGUUGAUAUGCAUGACUGAUAU